CCAUCUUGCAGGAAUUCAACACCCCGAGUUGAAUGUCUUUUAGGAUUGCAACGAAGAAAGGUUAUGCAUCCAGCAGACGUUCGGCUCCCAUUCCAGUAAAUGCAAACAAAAAAAGAAGUUGGGACUGGUUUCAAGGACAAUAACAACCACACAAGAUCCCAUUCACCACCACCAAAGAAUAAAAUCCAGAGGUGGAUAAAACUUUGCUAGAUUUUAUGCGCAAGGUAAUAAAAACCUGGACUGUUGAGAAAACGGUAGAGGAGGAGAAUUACGAGGAAGAAUGUGGAAGUGU